UAGGUUUGUUGAGGUUUGGAUGCGAAGUGUGUUCAUUAAUUGAGGAUUUAGAUUACACUCUAGUAAUUGGAAACUAGUGAGAGUAAUUGAUGGAGAGCUUCUCUUCAAUUCAGCAGCCUCUAGUUUCUUCACUGAACGAUUACAGUGUUGCAUUGAGGGGAUUGACUCAUUUACAGGAUUGAGGCUGUUAAUCUGUGCAGCUUGAGUGGGUGCGGAUUUGGGAAAUCAACAACUUCACCUAGCCAGGUUGC